UGGGGAAUCUUGGACAAUGGGGGCAACCCUGAUCCAGCGAUGCCGCGUGAGUGAAGAAGGCCUUCGGGUCGUAAAGCUCUUUAGGUUGGGAAGAAGGAUGCGGGGGGAUAAUCCCUGUAUUUUGACGGUACCGACAGAAUAAGCACCGGCAAACUCUGUGCCAGCAGCCGCGGUAAUACAGAGGGUGCAAGCGUUAAUCGGAGUAACUGGGCGUAAAGGGCGCGUAGGCGGUGAUGUGAGUGUGAUGUGAAAGCCCCGGGCUUAACCUGGGAAGUGCAUCGCAAACGACAUGACUGGAGUAGAUGAGAGGGUGGCGGAAUUUCCGGUGUAGCGGUGAAAUGCGUAGAGAUCGGAAGGAACGUCGAUGGCGAAGGCAGCCACCUGGCAUCAUACUGACGCUGAGGCGCGAAAGCGUGGGGAGCGAACA
rnacentral:rRNA from 1 species